GCUUGUCUGAACAUAAGCCAGCAGUGUGCCCGGGUGGCCAAGAAGGCCAAUGGCAUCCUGGCUUGUAUCGCCCAAUACACCAACCUGAAGGGAGCUUGUGGCAAGUUAGUCCUACCAUGAGGCUGGUCUUCCAUAUCCACUUAAGCUACUGCCAGCGUUGGAACACUUCUUUUAAUUAAUGGGUCGCUUUCACCUUUUGUUCCACUGUAUAUCACUUAUUUCCAAUGGCAACAUUUUAUUGAAAAUACUGUUUUCAGUCAUUGAGAAGAGAUGAUGUGAGGGAAGGAGAGAGAGAACAGCAGCACGGAACAAGCUUUAGCCCCUGUGAGCAUCAUCAGCCAGUGCAGUGAUUGCUAACAUGGCAGGUAAUGGGCCUGCAGCUGUCUCUUCCCUGCUGUUUAGACAAAGAGCCUUCUUUUUCCUGGUCAUGUAAAGAUCUUUAGGCUGCAAUAAAUUAAAACUAACCUGCUAAACUCUCAAGGCUCUCAAAACUGGGAGACACUGUUAGUAAAGGUUUAAACUGGGGACAUAGCAGAUUAUUCAUGCAGGAAACUUAAAAGGCUAUGGAAUUUGUUCCAGUGUGGUAGAUAACUUUUUCAUUAUCGGCGGUAGCAAUAAUCAUAAUCUUAGUUCUGUGGUUCAGUUUAUGGCGGUCAUAAUUUAUGAUGAAAGAGUUUACACUUAACAGUAAAAGUGAGGGGACAGCAAAAUUCUGUUAAAGGUAAUUAACUCCAGGGAUGUAGAGCUGAAGGCCACACAGGCGAGCACAGGAUGAACAAAGAGAAAAAUCUAUAUGGAUGACAAGUUUUAUACUCUUUCUUCACGUGGGGCAACCUUAAGGUGUCUUCUUUUUAAUUGACACUCUUGAUGAAUCAGUUUAAAUACUACAAACCCAUAUUUUGUUCCUGUUGUUGAUGAUGAUGAUAAGGGCAUCUGACAAUGAAAUCUGAACAAGAACAGGUCAGGUGGAGCAAUAUGUGGGUGAGAGCACUUCCUCUGCACAGAGCAGGGUAAGACAGACUGUGUGUAAACAAGUGAUGAUUCAUUGUCUUUCCUUUGAAUGAAAAGAGCUAAUUUGGCUCUAAAUCCUCCAUGCUUCUUCAGUACUGAGUGCAGAGCUGAUUCCCCAGCACUCUGAGAUGCCUUCCUGGCAGACUGCAGCUGUUGUAACCCUCGGAAGGGACCAGACUGAAUAAAUCACAGCUCCUGCUUUA